CCUAAUACAUGCAAGUCGAGCGGACAGAAGGGAGCUUGCUCCCGGAUGUUAGCGGCGGACGGGUGAGUAACACGUGGGUAACCUGCCUGUAAGACUGGGAUAACUCCGGGAAACCGGAGCUAAUACCGGAUAGUUCCUUGAACCGCAUGGUUCAAGGAUGAAAGACGGUUUCGGCUGUCACUUACAGAUGGACCCGCGGCGCAUUAGCUAGUUGGUGAGGUAACGGCUCACCAAGGCGACGAUGCGUAGCCGACCUGAGAGGGUGAUCGGCCACACUGGGACUGAGACACGGCCCAGACUUCUACGGGAGGCAGCAGUAGGGAAUCUUCCGCAAUGGACGAAAGUCUGACGGAGCAACGCCGCGUGAGUGAUGAAGGUUUUCGGAUCGUAAAGCUCUGUUGUUAGGGAAGAACAAGUGCAAGAGUAACUGCUUGCACCUUGACGGUACCUAACCAGAAAGCCACGGCUAACUACGUGCCAGCAGCCGCGGUAAUACGUAGGUGGCAAGCGUUGUCCGGAAUUAUUGGGCGUAAAGGGCUCGCAGGCGGUUUCUUAAGUCUGAUGUGAAAGCCCCCGGCUCAACCGGGGAGGGUCAUUGGAAACUGGGAAACUUGAGUGCAGAAGAGGAGAGUGGAAUUCCACGUGUAGCGGUGAAAUGCGUAGAGAUGUGGAGGAACACCAGUGGCGAAGGCGACUCUCUGGUCUGUAACUGACGCUGAGGAGCGAAAGCGUGGGGAGCGAACAGGAUUAGAUACCCUGGUAGUCCACGCCGUAAACGAUGAGUGCUAAGUGUUAGGGGGUUUCCGCCCCUUAGUGCUGCAGCUAACGCAUUAAGCACUCCGCCUGGGGAGUACGGUCGCAAGACUGAAACUCAAAGGAAUUGACGGGGGCCCGCACAAGCGGUGGAGCAUGUGGUUUAAUUCGAAGCAACGCGAAGAACCUUACCAGGUCUUGACAUCCUCUGACAACCCUAGAGAUAGGGCUUUCCCUUCGGGGACAGAGUGACAGGUGGUGCAUGGUUGUCGUCAGCUCGUGUCGUGAGAUGUUGGGUUAAGUCCCGCAACGAGCGCAACCCUUGAUCUUAGUUGCCAGCAUUCAGUUGGGCACUAUAAGGUGACUGCCGGUGACAAACCGGAGGAAGGUGGGGAUGACGUCAAAUCAUCAUGCCCCUUAUGACCUGGGCUACACACGUGCUACAAUGGACAGAACAAAGGGCUGCGAGACCGCAAGGUUUAGCCAAUCCCACAAAUCUGUUCUCAGUUCGGAUCGCAGUCUGCAACUCGACUGCGUGAAGCUGGAAUCGCUAGUAAUCGCGGAUCAGCAUGCCGCGGUGAAUACGUUCCCGGGCCUUGUACACACCGCCCGUCACACCACGAGAGUUUGCAACACCCGAAGUCGGUGAGGUA
rnacentral:rRNA from 1 species